GCGCAGCAGUCGAGAAUUUUUCUCAAUGGGGGAAACCCUGAAGGAGCGACGCCGCGUGGAGGAUGAAGGCUUUCGGGUUGUAAACUCCUGUCAUUUGGGAACAAGUUGGACGCAGUUACUACGCGUCCAUUGAUAGUACUAGAAGAGGAAGAGACGGCUAACUCUGUGCCAGCAGCCGCGGUAAUACAGAGGUCUCAAGCGUUGUUCGGAUUCAUUGGGCGUAAAGGGUGCGUAGGUGGCGUCGUAAGUCAGAUGUGAAAUCUCGGGGCUUAACUCCGAAACUGCAUUUGAUACUGCGGUGCUUGAGGACUGGAGAGGAGACUGGAAUUUACGGUGUAGCAGUGAAAUGCGUAGAGAUCGUAAGGAAGACCAGUGGCGAAGGCGGGUCUCUGGACAGUUCCUGACACUGAGGCACAAAGGCCAGGGGAGCAAACGGGAUUAGAUACCCCGGUAGU
rnacentral:rRNA from 1 species